UACGGUAGGGUGCAAGCGUUGUCCGGAAUUAUUGGGCGUAAAGAGCUCGUAGGCGGUUUGUCGCGUCUGCUGUGAAAACCCGAGGCUCAACCUCGGGCCUGCAGUGGGUACGGGCAGACUAGAGUGCGGUAGGGGAGAUUGGAAUUCCUGGUGUAGCGGUGGAAUGCGCAGAUAUCAGGAGGAACACCAAUGGCGAAGGCAGAUCUCUGGGCCGUAACUGACGCUGAGACGCGAAAGCGUGGGGAGCGAACAGG
rnacentral:rRNA from 1 species